rnacentral:rRNA from 1 species
AACGAACGCUGGCGGCAUGCCUAACACAUGCAAGUCGAACGAGACCUUCGGGUCUAGUGGCGCACGGGUGCGUAACGCGUGGGAAUCUGCCCUUGGGUUCGGAAUAACAGUUGGAAACGACUGCUAAUACCGGAUGAUGACGUAAGUCCAAAGAUUUAUCGCCCAGGGAUGAGCCCGCGUAGGAUUAGCUAGUUGGUGGGGUAAAGGCCUACCAAGGCGACGAUCCUUAGCUGGUCUGAGAGGAUGAUCAGCCACACUGGGACUGAGACACGGCCCAGACUCCUACGGGAGGCAGCAGUGGGGAAUAUUGGACAAUGGGCGAAAGCCUGAUCCAGCUAUGCCGCGUGAGUGAUGAAGGCCUUAGGGUUGUAAAGCUCUUUUACCCGGGAUGAUAAUGACAGUACCGGGAGAAUAAGCCCCGGCUAACUCCGUG